rnacentral:rRNA from 1 species
GAUCAUUANNNAANNANNNNANNANANCCCGAUCUCCACCCUUUGUUUACUAUACCAUGUUGCUUUGGUGGGCCCGCCUUUAGGGGCCACUGGGGACUUUCAUAUCCCUAGUCAGUGCCCGCCAGUAGCCUUCUUAAAUACUUUUAUAACUAUGUUUGUCUGAGUAUAACUAUAAAUCGUUUAAAACUUUCAACAACGGAUCUCUUGGUUCUGGCAUCGAUGAAGAACGCANCGAAAUGCGAUAAGUAAUGCGAAUUGCAGAAUUCAGUGAGUCAUCGAAUCUUUGAACGCAUAUUGCGCCCUUUGGUAUUCCGAAGGGCAUGCCUGUUCGAGCGUCAUUAUCAAUCAUCAAGCCUGGCUUGUCGUUGGACCAUUGUAGAUGAAAUAUUGCUACAGGUCCGAAAUAUAAUGACGGUGUCAUGUUUGACCCUAGAUGCAACGAGCUUUUUUAUAGCACGCAUUGAAGUGGUCGGGUGACCCCCAGUCUUAACCCCAUAUUUUCUAAGGUUGACCUCGGAUCAGGUAGGAAUACCCGCUGAACUUAAGCAUAUCAAUAAGC